rnacentral:rRNA from 1 species
UACAGAGGUCCCAAGCGUUGUUCGGAUUCAUUGGGCGUAAAGGGUGCGUAGGCGGUGAGGUAAGUUGGAUGUGAAAUCCCAGGGCUCAACCCUGGAACUGCAUUCAAUACUGCCUUGCUAGAGUACUGGAGAGGAGAUUGGAAUUCACGGUGUAGCAGUGAAAUGCGUAGAUAUCGUGAGGAAGACCAGUGGCGAAGGCGAAUCUCUGGACAGUAACUGACGCUGAGGCGCGAAAGCGUGGGGAGCAAACAGG